CGCAGCGCGGCGGCGGGGCGGCCGCGGCGCCGCGCGGGGGGAGCCGCGCAGCAGCCCCUGCCCCGAGCGAAGCACGGCGUUCUUUUGUAGGAGAGAUCCAGAUGUUAUGUAGAUUUCUGUUUGCGUGUUCGUUUUGAGCGGAUCCGGCGGUGAGCGCAGUAUUUACGUGUGUGUGUUGCUGGACUUUACCGUUUAUCGACGUUGCGCUUGUGGAAUGUAUGCUGGAGUAUUAGCUCGAGGAUGUCCUCCAAGAUUAAAGCUAGUCCUAAGAGCAACCGAAUUGCUGUGACUGACUUUCACGGGACUGUAAAGAGAGGUGAGUAGAAGAGCCCUUAGUAUGUAGAUCUCUUUCAAGCAGUGGUUAAGUCAAUUCAUUUCGCAGGGAAAAAGCCAGUCUUCUUGUGCAGUAUUUUAUACUCUGUCGUAUAAAUCGGUAACGUAAUUCAAGAUAUUCAUGGUAAUGAAUGCUUGGCUAAUCCUUUGGGUGCG
rnacentral:lncRNA from 1 species